UACGUAGGGGGCUAGCGUUGUUCGGAUUUACUGGGCGUAAAGCGCGCGUAGGCGGAUUGUUAAGUCGGGUGUGAAAUCCUGGAGCUCAACUCCAGAAUUGCCUUCGAUACUGGCUUUCUAGAGGCUGGAAGAGGGUAGUGGAAUUCCCAGUGUAGAGGUGAAAUUCGUAGAUAUUGGGAAGAACACCAGUGGCGAAGGCGGCUAACUGGUGCAGAGCUGACGCUGAGGUGCGAAAGCGUGGGGAGCAAUCAGG
rnacentral:rRNA from 1 species